UGGAGACAGAAGAUAAGAACCCCUGCUUCCAGGGUCCCUACUGGUCCCAGAUCCCAUCCUCCAGGACCUUUGCUCCUUCCCAAGUCAGCCUCUUCUCUGACAAGAGAGCCUCCACAGAGAACCCCAGUGCCAAAUCCAUCCUGCAAAACAGUCACCUUGGGGCUACCCUCACUGUCUCCAGACCCCAGACCUGCAGAGAGGUUCUCUCUCUCUUUCUCUCUCUCUCUCUCUCUCUCUCUCUCUCUCUCUCUCUCUCUCUCUCUCUCUAACUGCAAACUUGAGGCCCUCCCAGACCAUCUGAUUGACAGGCACCCCUGGCACGGUGCCUUUUCCACCAUUACUGGGCAAGGGGCCAAGCCCAGAGGGGCCAUCAGUGUUUGCCCAGCUGGGUGCGGUUCCAAUCACUACUAUUUCUUCCCUCCUUCAUGGUAAGGGGCCCAGCUGGCUGAAAUGACCUCAGUGACAGUGAGACACAACUGCUACCAUUUCCUGAGCACUCAUAACGUGCCAGACAUUGUAUACAAUGACUUCAUCUCGUGGUGCCCCCUGCCCCACCUUGAGUUCAGUAGCAGAGGAGGGAACCAUCUAGCAAGAUCGUGGCAAUCUCUUGAACUUUCACAGUGUAAGCAGCAGAAGCUGGAAUUUGGACUGAAGCUUGAGCAACUCCAAGGCUCCAUCCAUUACGCCUUCCAAAUAUCACCUUUAGCAGAACUGCUUCUCCCCCACGGUAUACAGUCUCAAUGGUACUGAAGACCAGGUGCCCUAUCCUCCCCCAGCCAAAAAGCAAGCAAAUGACACAAGACUGGCUGGUCAUCUGCCUCCCCAGGACUGUGAAUCCUUAGUAGGUUGAGAAGUGGGUAGGAAGAAUGGCUGGAGUACGAUGAUUUCAACCGUGGUACCCUGAUGAGACUGGCAGGUAUUACCUGCUGCCCCAACACCCAGAGCUUCUCUGGUUUCUUACCACUCUUGUUCCCAGUCAGGUUCUCCAAUGUCUUAUCCACUCCACAAGCUACUCAACUUCCCCCCCAGUACAUUACCUUCCUGCUUACUUUAGUCAAAGUUGUUUUCUGUAUUUAUAAACAAUGAAUCUUAAAUGGCA